rnacentral:rRNA from 2 species
GUGGCGGUUGCAUCAUGAUUUACAUUUGAGUGAGUGGCGAACUGGUGAGUAACACGUGGGAAACCUGGCGAGAAGCGGGGGAUAACACCUGGUCACAGAUGCUAAUACCGCAUAACAACUUGGACCGCAUGGUCCGAGUUUGAAAGAUGGCUUCGGCUAUCACUUUUGGAUGGUCCCGCGGCGUAUUAGCUAGAUGGUGGGGUAACGGCUCCACCUGGCAAUGAUACGUAGCCGACCUGAGAGGGUAAUCGGCCACAUCGGGACUGAGACACGGCCCAAACUCCUACGGGAGGCAGCAGUAGGGAAUCUUCCACAAUGGACGAAAGUCUGAUGGAGCAACGCCGCGUGAGUGAAGAAGGGUUUCGGCUCGUAUAACUCUGUUGUUAAAGAACAACAUAUCUGAGAGUAACUGUUCAGGUAUUGACGGUGUUUAACCAAAAAGCCGCCGCUAACUACGUGCCAGCAGCCGCG